UACGGGGGGGGCAAGCGUUGUUCGGAAUUACUGGGCGUAAAGCGUGCGUAGACGGUUAUUUAAGUCGGGUGUGAAAGCCCCGGGCUCAACCUGGGAAUUGCAUUCGAGACUGAAUAGCUAGGGUACGGUAGAGGGAAGUGGAAUUUCCGGUGUAGCGGUGAAAUGCGUAGAGAUCUGGAGGAACACCGAUGGCGAAGGCAGCCUUCUGGGCCAACACUGACGCUCAUGCACGAAAGCGUGGGGAGCAAACAGG
rnacentral:rRNA from 1 species